rnacentral:rRNA from 1 species
AAAGCUUGCUUUCCUGAUACUUAGCGGCGGACGGGUGAGUAACACGUAGGCAACCUGCCCUCAAGCUUGGGACAACUACCGGAAACGGUAGCUAAUACCGAAUACUUGUUUUCUUCGCCUGAAGGGAACUGGAAAGACGGAGCAAUCUGUCACUUGAGGAUGGGCCUGCGGCGCAUUAGCUAGUUGGUGAGGUAACGGCUCACCAAGGCGACGAUGCGUAGCCGACCUGAGAGGGUGAUCGGCCACACUGGGACUGAGACACGGCCCAGACUCCUACGGGAGGCAGCAGUAGGGAAUCUUCCGCAAUGGGCGAAAGCCUGACGGAGCAAUGCCGCGUGAGUGAUGAAGGUUUUCGGAUCGUAAAGCUCUGUUGCCAGGGAAGAACGCUUGGGAGAGUAACUGCUCUCAAGGUGACGGUACCUGAGAAGAAAGCCCCGGCUAACUACGUGCCAGCAGCCGCGGUAAUACGUAGGGGGCAAGCGUUGUCCGGAAUUAUUGGGCGUAAAGCGCGCGCAGGCGGUCAUGUAAGUCUGGUGUUUAAUCCCGGGGGCUCAACCCCGGAUCGCACUGGAAACUGCGUGACUUGAGUGCAGAAGAGGAGAGUGGAAUUCCACGUGUAGCGGUGAAAUGCGUAGAGAUGUGGAGGAACACCAGUGGCGAAGGCGACUCUCUGGGCUGUAACUGACGCUGAGGCGCGAAAGCGUGGGGAGCAAAACAGGAUUAGAUACCUGGGAGUCCACGCCGU